rnacentral:rRNA from 1 species
GACGAACGCUGGCGGCGUGCCUAAUACAUGCAAGUAGAACGCUGAAGAGAGGAGCUUGCUCUUCUUGGAUGAGUUGCGAACGGGUGAGUAACGCGUAGGUAACCUGCCUUGUAGCGGGGGAUAACUAUUGGAAACGAUAGCUAAUACCGCAUAACAAUGGAUGACACAUGUCAUUUAUUUGAAAGGGGCAAUUGCUCCACUACAAGAUGGACCUGCGUUGUAUUAGCUAGUAGGUGAGGUAACGGCUCACCUAGGCGACGAUACAUAGCCGACCUGAGAGGGUGGUCGGCCCCCCUGGGACUGGGACCCGGCCCCGACUCCUACGGGAGGCAGCAGUAGGGAAUCUUCGGCCAUGGGGGCAACCCUGACCGAGCAACGCCGCGUGAGUGAAGAAGGUUUUCGGAUCGUAAAGCUCUGUUGUAAGUCAAGAACGAGUGUGAGAGUGGAACGUUCACACUGUGACGGUAGCUUACCAGAAAGGGACGGCUAACUACGUG